rnacentral:rRNA from 1 species
UCGGGAAUUUUGGGCAAUGGGCGAAAGCCUGACCCAGCAACGCCGCGUGAAGGAUGAAGUAUUUCGGUAUGUAAACUUCGAAAGAAUAGGAAGAAUAAAUGACGGUACUAUUUAUAAGGUCCGGCUAACUACGUGCCAGCAGCCGCGGUAAUACGUAGGGUGCAGGCGUUAAUCGGAAUUACUGGGCGUAAAGCGUGCGCAGGCGGUUUGUUAAGACAGGUGUGAAAUCCCCGGGCUUAACCUGGGAAUUGCGCUUGUAACUGGCAGGCUAGAGUGUGGCAGAGGGGGUGGAAUUCCACGUGUAGCAGUGAAAUGCGUAGAUAUGUGGAGGAACACCGAUGGCGAAGGCAGCCCCCUGGGUUAACACUGACGCUCAUGCACGAAAGCGUGGGGAGCAAACAGGAUUAGAUACCCCCGUAGUCCCUGAGCGGGCUGGCAAGGCGCAU